rnacentral:lncRNA from 1 species
UUUGUCUUGUGAGUUGUGAUGAUAAGCCUUCGUAAUGCCAAAACAAGAUCUCUAGUUUGGAAAGACUUCGGGUGGACUUUCUUGUUGAAUGCCUUGGAUAGCCGUGCUUGGUAGCAUUCCAAGUAUUGUUAAGCUUCAAGCCUUCUUUCAUCGAGUGCUUCCAACUCUUAAAGUCGUAGCUUUGCAUUUUCCACUUCAGUCAAGCCUUCUUGUAUAGCCAUCUUUAGUAAGGGGAUUUGACUUUUGAGUGACAGAACAACUUCCAUGCCAUAUGCGAGAGAAUAAGGCGUAACUUGGGUAGGAGUUCUAUAUGUCGUCAUAUACGCCUAAAGUGCUUAACUUAUUCUUUCGUACCAAUUUCUCUUUC